GACGAACGCUGGCGGCGUGCUUAACACAUGCAAGUCGAACGGAAAGGCCCUGCUUUUGUGGGGUGCUCGAGUGGCGAACGGGUGAGUAACACGUGAGUAACCUGCCCUUGACUUUGGGAUAACUUCGGGAAACUGGGGCUAAUACCGGAUAGGAGCUCCUGCUGCAUGGUGGGGGUUGGAAAGUUUCGGCGGUUGGGGAUAGACUCGCGGCUUAUCAGCUUGUUGGUGGGGUAGUGGCUUACCAAGGCUUUGACGGGUAGCCGGCCUGAGAGGGUGACCGGCCACAUUGGGACUGAGAUACGGCCCAGACUCCUACGGGAGGCAGCAGUGGGGAAUAUUGCACAAUGGGCGGAAGCCUGAUGCAGCAACGCCGCGUGCGGGAUGACGGCCUUCGGGUUGUAAACCGCUUUCGCCUGUGACGAAGCGUGAGUGACGGUAAUGGGUAAAGAAGCACCGGCUAACUACGUG
rnacentral:rRNA from 1 species